rnacentral:tRNA from 1 species
GGCGCCGUGGCUUAGUUGGUUACGCCUGUCUAGUAAACAGGAGAUCACGAGUUCGAAUCUCGUCGGUGCUU